rnacentral:piRNA from 1 species
UUGUCUUGGUUUGGUGACUAUAUGGGA